AACCAUAGAAACCUGCGGAGUACCUGCGGAGGGAUCAUUACUGAGUGAGGGCCCUCUGGGUCCAACCUCCCACCCGUGUUUAACGAACCUUGUUGCUUCGGCGGGCCCGCCUCACGGCCGCCGGGGGGCAUCCGCCCCCGGGCCCGCGCCCGCCGAAGACACCUGUGAACUCUGUCUGAAGUUGCAGUCUGAGAAACUAUUUAAAUUAGUUAAAACUUUCAACAACGGAUCUCAGAUCGG
rnacentral:misc_RNA from 1 species